rnacentral:rRNA from 1 species
GCACAAGCAGUGGAGUAUGUGGUUUAAUUCGAAGCAACGCGAAGAACCUUACCAGGUCUUGACAUCCGAUGCAUAGCACAGAGAUGUGUGAAAUCCUUCGGGACAUCGAGACAGGUGGUGCAUGGUUGUCGUCAGCUCGUGUCGUGAGAUGUUGGGUUAAGUCCCGCAACGAGCGCAACCCUUAUCGCCAGUUACUACGUUAAGAGGACUCUGGCGAGACUGCCGUUGACAAAA